rnacentral:rRNA from 1 species
AUGGCCAAUUGCGGGGGAAAUCAAGUAGCCAGGGAGCACAACAAAUGGUUGACAUGGGGAUGGAAGACGAAACUGAGGGGAAUGAGGACAAUGAUGAUGAUGAAGAAGAAGAGGAUGACGAAAAAGAAGAUGAUGAAGGAAAGGAGGACGAUGACGAUGAAGAAGGCGAUGGGGAUGACAAAGACAAGGAAGAUGAUGGGCAAGGGAAGCAGGAUGAAGAUUAUGAAGAUGACAGCGGAGGUGGCAACGGUGGUUCAGGAAGCAAUGGUGGUUCCGAUCGGGACGAGGAUCCGCAGCUGA